rnacentral:rRNA from 1 species
GACGAACGCUGGCGGCGUGCCUAACACAUGCAAGUCGAACGGAAAGGCGCUGCUUUUGUGCGGUUGUCGAGUGGCGAACGGGUGAGUAACACAUGAGUAAACUGCCCUUGACUUUGGGAUACCUUCAGGAAACUGGGGCUAUUACCCGAUAGGAGCUCCUGCUGCAUGGUGGGGGUUGGAAAGUUUCGGCGGUUGGGGCUGGUUUGGCGGGUUAUCGGCUUGUUGGUGGAGUAGUGGCUUACCAAGGCUUUGAAGGGUAGCCGGCAUGAGAGGGUGGACAGGGCCCAGACGACUGCGAGAGGGAGCAGUCGGCAACGGGAGGCAACGGGGGGGAGCUUGACACAGCAAGGGGGAGCGUGUGGCGGCGACGCCCGGUGCGGAAAGCCCGCUUUCGGGGUGAGAACCGCUUUGGCCUGAGACGAACCGGGAGUGACGGUACCGGGUAAAGAAGCACCGGCUAACUACGUG